UAAUGAUUAUAACGCAUUAUAAAAAUAUUUAUAAAAAUGUUCAUUUUAUAUUUCUAAUUUAAUUAUUGUCUCAUCUAUAAUCCACAUUACUUCGUAUUUACAUCAGAACAAGUUCAAGGCAAAAGUCACAGAAGCGUCACAGAGAGAGAUUUGCAUAGAAAAAUCAAUGUAUGUAUUCCGUUUUUCCAAGUUACAUCGUGAAAAAGUGAUGUAAGCGCAUUAAGAACACAAAGAAGCCAAGUGCUCGUUUGAAUUGAAGAGUUGCCAUGCGUUUUUGCUAUCUGCCUUAGCGACAUUGACUUUUCGCGUGUAUAAUGACACGUUCACACGUUCACGGUCGCAAGAAUUAGGUCAGAGGCCUGCUGUCGUCAAUGAACCGUAAGCGAGAUUGAACAAAUUGCUCAGUUAUAUGUGUGCGCAAUGUGUUAGCGGAGAGUCGUUUUACUUACUGACUGUGAUCGCGUGUGUAAUCUUGCCAGAUGCUUCAUAGCUGAACGACUUAAUAUCGAAACGUCUUAGCUAUCCAAAUACAUGGCAGAAUUAAGCAAAUAAAAAUUGAAUAAUAAGAAAAUGUAUGUACAUGAGACUUAUUUACACAAAAUUACAUUAAUUGAAGCUAUACAUGUAUCGAGAUAAUGAUGAUAGCCAAGGAUGCUUACAAGCGCGUCGUCGCGACUUAAUUUUUAAGCAACAAGUAAGGGAUUGACUUUUACGCUUCGAUUCUUCAAGGAUACCGAUAAUUGCAACAAGACCUGCAAAUCUGACUAAUCUCCGUGUUAAUAUGGCAUGCUCCAACCGAGCCUAGGCAAAGAUCUUCUCCCUAAAGGAAGUUCCUAUACGUGCUUGACGCAAUUGUCCUUAAAAGGUACACGCUCGUUACGAGCGAUCGAACUUAUUGCGAAUCGAUGCGACGCAUGUACACAUCAUCGGCAAAAUCGUUGACCCACUUUGUGAGGCUGAUCAGUUGCAUAAUCCUUGCGCGUUUUAUCUGCACAUACGCGUUUCAUAAGGUGCUCUUAAAUGCGCGUUUGCCAGCGAAGGUUGCCCGGUUACUCUUGGCCGUAUAAGGACCUCUAAGCGAGAGGAGAGCGGUCAGCUCGAGAGAGCAUCGCAGCUUCGCGAGCGUUGGAACACGAACUCAAAAAGAACUCAAGUAUUUAUUAAUAAAAGACGCCGAAUUAUUUCCGUUUCCUUAAGAUUGACAUUUGACAAUUUUAAUCUGUUUCUGACAUCCUUUUAAUUAUUUUCGUUCAUUAUUUUAUUGCUUUUAUCAUCAGUUCACGUGGAUGUGUUUCCGAUCCACGCAGCCAGCUAAUUAAAAUUCAUCAUUAAAUCGGAACCGUUAAAAUCCUGAUUUAACUCCGUGUCACGUAACAUGUUGAAGCAUCCUUGGCUUAUACAUCUCACGUCACAGUAUAAUAAAAAACGACUUGUACCCCCCCGGAAGAGUAAGCGAGAUCUCAUUGAGCAGCAGUUGCGGGUAAUCAUCAUUAGCUAACUAUCCCGUUAAUCCUGUGAACGGCGUUAGUUUCUGUAAGUUUAAGCGUCUCAUACGGGCCGAUGCAUAUCCUGGAUCCGCCGAUCGCGAACUCUCCCACGAACUUUCAGACCUGGCGUAUUCCACGAUCCGUAUGCUGCUAAGUGUGACGCUCAGCUACGUAAGCCGAAUCGCUUUCUGCCCGUAUAAAAACCUGCGUACUAAGUGCAGCCCGCAUUGUUAAAUCAUCUCGGAUCUGCCAGUCGACGCUACAGACAGAUGUUCAUCGCGAAUCGGAUGCGUUUCAUUCCGAGCGGACAUCCGUGGUGUUACAAGAUGCAAUCCUGACUCAUUUGUGUGGAAUUGCGUAAUCGAAGCGGUAUUACAAUUCGGAGUCACGCGACUGGCUCGAUUACUUAACGGUCAGCGCGUUAUUGGCUUUCGCGUGUAUGUGUGCGUACGUGGGUACGCAGGUUUCCAUAUAGUUCGGCCAUUUAAGAGCUUGAAUACAUAUUGGGAUAUUCAUCACCGCGGGACACGAAAUAACGUCAUCUUUAAAUUCGCGCGGCCGCGAACGCAGCCCGAGAGUUUUGCACGUUACAAGAAACUGCAUUCGCCUCGCGUAUGAAUGAGUAAUGACCAGACGAGGGAAAGUCCUGCACGAAACUCGAGGUGCAGUGACUGCAUCUGCGUAAGUAUUUUUUUUAGUUUAACAUUUUUACAAUUUUUUAAUGUAACAUCACUUUUGUCAUUUUAAUUUCAUAUAUUUUGUACCAAUAUAUUUCCUUAUUUCGAAUAUGGUGUCCUUGCAUGAAGAAAUAUAUGCACAUUAUAUUGUUAAUAAACAUGUCAAUGUUUAUCGAUAUAAAAUGCGAAUAAUAUUUUUACACUGUUUUCACAACUGGCUCUUGCGCGUGAAAGACUGCCUCGGCGGUACAAUUCCUUGUGGGAAUUAUGGGGUCCCAUAGUCGCUAAUUGGAAAGAAUGCAAGGGCAGACAUGGGGUUUCUAUCGAGGUCACGGUGAGAUCCUCAUAAGUCGAAAAGUUUCGUUUAGUCUUUCUCUUAAGAAUGUAUUUAUAGCUUCGAUAUUACGUUAUUAAAUUAUUCGUAUAAUUGUGAGUUUUUUUUUCAAAGAAAAGUAAAUCUUUGAACAGUGCUUCAAGGAUAACUCGUGCUGUCUGUAUUCAAAGUCAGCGUAACGAGCUAUCUGAAGAACUGUCGUAAUAUCGAUUACGUGGCGCAGAAUUAGUUUUCCUAGUUUCAUUUGUGCAAUCCAUUUCCAUUCUAAAAUGUAAAAUGUACGACUGUCCGCGAUACGAUAUCUGUUUUACUUACUUUGCCUGUAUUUUUAAAUAAUCGAUUCCAAGACUGCAUUUACAUAAUAAAUAAUAUCGGUUGAAUUUCUGUAGAGAAAAAAGCGUGUUAUUAAUACCUAUCUGAUUUCUAUUAUUCUUCUCAUUUUUCAUUACGUCGUUUUCAAUUUUCGUUCCGUCAGUCCUGUCAAGUUUGAGAUCGACUGCUUUUUUUCUGGGAGUUCGUGUUUUACGAUCAAAUAAAGUCGCUUAUGUACUUAUAGGAGUGGCCGAGUAAUUUGCUCGCGAAAGAAGAAUGUUUACUUGUGCAAUAAAGUAUACACGUACGAAAUAUCGAUACUUCGAAAAUUGUCUGUAGGCUUUAUAUCAUCUAUUGGACGCAUGACGUAAGAAAGAUGCUAUGCUGGAAUAAUUUACAAUGUAGAGAAAGUUUUCCGAUAGGAUGAACUCUCUAUGUGAUCCGCGUUACGUUUUCGUAACGUUCUGAUCCGACGAGUCGAGUGUGCAAUUAAGUGCUUCCUGCAUUAUGUCGUAAGGCGAAGAUUGGCACGGGGUAAGCAAGUACUCGAGUAUUCUCUUAAUUAAGCUCAGCAGGAUACGCUGGAGCUCGAGCCAGAUCGUGGAGUGUUUGUGCAUAAAUGAUCAAUAAUAGUGAUGAUAAUCAAUAAUAUUUAAGAUAUCAAAAGUUUUAUGUUACUCUCGCAAUGAUAACGAGAAGCAAUUUGCACUAUAAUUUGCAUUAAAAGUCGAUAGUGUAUUAGAAUUUUAUAAUGUUGAUAAAUCUAAAUUUAUGAUCUGCUUGAGAUUUUGAUUAUAAUGUCUGAUAUUGAAGCAGAAUAAAAAAAUAAGUAAAAUGAAGAAAUAAAUACGGCUUUGUUCUUUAAUUCUGACACACGAAAUAACGUUUUCGAAGCCACAUGUGAUAAUACUUUUAUCAGUUGUAAUAUAUCACGAUUAGUAAUACAUAAACGAUACUCUGUGCGUGUUUAUGGCGUUCCGCGAAUUUAUAUCGCAAUAUGUUUAACGAGAUUAAAUGAUGUUAUGUAACUUUUCGUGCAGCUUAAUCGAUUUUGCAUUCACAUUUCAAAGAUGAAUUAUCCGUUUUUGAAAUUGAAAUUAAUUAAUUAGUAGUUUGAAAUUUUGCUACAGCAUUGUUCAUGUAUAUUAUGGUUCCAAAGAAAUAAAACGAUCUCUCGAAUUUCAAGCUAAUUAAAAUUUUAACGUAAUUAAUAAGCUUUAUGUAGAAAGAUCGUCAGCAGAUUAUAGAUCAGACGAUUUAUUUACUGUCCGCACAGAGAUGCAUAAGAUUAUUCUUAUUAUUAAGAGGCGCGCAAAAAUCCUUAUUCUCCGUUAUUCGCACCUAGAACGGAAACCACUUUAUUCUACUUCCGGCCGUUAAUACAGAUAUCCUCUUCGGGGAUGAAGCACCUCUAUUUUUAGAGUAUGGAUAUAAUACUACACAUUCAUCGUAUAGCAUGGUGUUCGUAGAAGAUCGUCGAAGAGGGAACUUAUAAUCGGUAAGUUACUGCGAAAUCACAUUUCGAAGAAAAUUAUUGUAAGUAAUAACGCCAAAGUACAUGUACAGAAUAGCCAGAUCGUUAAAAUGUACAUGUGAAAAAAAACAUUUUUUGCCCAGAUGGUGUAUCCUUAGAAAAUAUUUUUCAUUUGUUAUUAUGAAUAAGAAGAAAAUAAAAGAGAAAAGUUGAUAAACUAACACAUCGGGAUAGAUAAAAUAUUAAGAUAGACCAAUUUCCUAUUCUAUCUACAAAUAACUUGUCAACAUUUAUUUCAACGCUCUUGUGACAGUAUCUACCGUGCAAUAUAACGCUAUUCGAUAGUAAUGCGAACGUAUUUUGCAUAUUGUGCUUCCGAUGUGUACAUUGUGUAUGCACUUUUUGCUUCUGAUGCAAAUUGCGGCUUAUAUAAAAGAGCGUUGUCAGCAUUGAGAUGUUCACUUGAUCAUGAUCGUAAUACUAGUCAUGGUAUCUAGAGAGUGCUGACAGCGAUUGUCAGGCCUGAGAUAAUAUCCGCCUUUACGUCGAUAAAUGGAAACUAAUUAACUUUUUUCUCCUAGAAAAAUAGAGGCUUGUGCUCAGGCUCGUAAUGUCUAUGAUAUUAUCGCCUGACGUUGAUCAUUGAUUAUCAUUUAUUCAUUCUUCCGUUGGCUUGUGCAAAUAGACAGGCACGUUGAACUCUGGCAAUUAUGGGAGGUGGUCAUGGCAUACGGAGCUUUUAAUUUAUAGCGGUAAUUAUGUGUUCAACGCUACCUUGGAAUCACGGCGUAUAGUUGUUAUCUUGGAUUAGCGUUGUACGUUUACGAACGAUCGAGACAAGAAAUUAGAUCAAACAAGAUCGCGUCCAUCCGAUAAUUGAUAAUGCUUUUUCUUUUUUGAUAUGAUAAUAAAUAAGAAAAUUAUUAGGAUUAAUAACACUAACAAUAAUAGUAAUAAUAUACUAGUAAUAAUAUACUAGUAAUAAUAUAUUCUGAUUUAAAUGAUCUUUGCUUCUAUUAUACAUGGAAAAAUAAUUACUUUUGUUACAUGUACAUGAUAUUGUUUCAUAAGUAGAAUUUUUUAUGGAAUAUAUUAUAUUACUACAUGACUUUGCAGUUUUAAUAACAUUUUUAUAAGAGAAUUAUGAUCUGCAUUUUUCUUUCUAAAUGUUAAACGUUUUUGAAUUGAAAUUUUGAAGCAUCUUUAAUCACAGGAAUGGUUCGUAUUUGAGAUUACAUUUUUUUUUUCGUUACGGGGCUUUUGCACCGGCGAUUUGCAACGUGCAACGUCACAGUUAAUCUUAAUGCAUGCGACGCGUCGUUCUCAGACGAUUUUGUACCAGCGAAGUACAUAUAACGAGCCGGCUCAAACUGCAUUCCGUAGACGAUAAGCAUAUCUUGCUUUGUAAUGAGUGUGGACUUCCCCACAAACCUUGCGACGAAUGUUUGUCAGUAUAAAAUGCAAGCCAAUUCUUUUAUGAUUCUAAUUUGUAAUUGUCAUUUGCUGUUUUAUAAGGUGUUAAAGAAUUAUAAAUUUUUCUGUUACAAAAGAUAAGCAAUAGAAAAGCACGUAAAAGUAUGUGAUGAAAUUAAAUUUCACAAUUGUGUUAUCGAACAAUUCGGAAAAAAUGCAAUUUAUAGAUGAUAUUAUUUAUGAUGAUAUUGCAAUAUUUAUAUAAUGUAAUAUUAUUCAUAAUUUUAUUGCUCAAUAUAUUUCUUAUGAACAAGAUGAUACAAUAACAAAGUAAGGGUUAUAUAAUGAAUUACGAAAAAUUUUAAGUCUCACGAUUAAGAUUCAGGAAAUUAUAAUAUAUGUGCACAGGAAGGAACACGACUGAUAAAAAUGAUUCAUGACCAACAUAUGCGGUAACGUACGGUAUAUUUCCAUUCGUGGCGAGCAUUGAUUAUUAAGUGGCAGCAAAGUUCUCGCGCCUCUCGAGAAAGAUGAUGCUUACGUACUCCUAAGCACAGCACUUCAAGUACUCCAAGCAGGAAUGUCUAAGAAUGAACAGUCGGUCACGUUGGUAUGCAGGCGAAAGGAGGGCCUAUCGCUGCAGGAUAAUGCAAUUUCGGAUACGGUACCGUGCCGGAGAAAUAUUUGAGAAGGUGCCGGAAGGAGGUGAGGCGAGAGAGGGGUGCACAGCACGAAGCCGGCCGAAGAAGUGUACCAUGGCCAGCGGGUUUCGCGAGGGACGCUCCCUUCUUCGGCAACUGGAUCUCAUUUUAAUUCCCCUCGAAAGGAACGAACUGCCUGGCAGCUGUCGCCGCUUACGGAACGAAACGCGCGUGCAUCGUCGACCUGCACGGGAUACCUGAGGUGAGGAAAAGGAACCAUUGUCAUGGCUCGAAGUAACGAAUACAUCUUUUAAAGGCGCACGGCUAACGCAUGCGCAAAUCUGUUUUUCUUUAAAGAUAACACGUUUGCAUUCUGAUAACGUCGAAGUCUCUGAAGUCGAUAUCUUUUGUCGUCAUCGAUAUAUUUUAUCAUUACGUAACAAUCAAAUUUUUUGAUGGAAAUUUGAUGGAAAAUUGAAUGGAAAAUAAAUUUUUGAAAUUGCAUUGUGAUACAUGUACAUAACGUUCUUUUAGUUGGGAGCGCUACUGAUUAUUUUUGCAAAAGAGACCAAAAUGGAAAUGUUACUGGUUUGAAUUUGCUGGAUGAAAUCAAAAGCACAAUGGUUCCGUUUAUUUGACAGCAAAUUGAGAAAAUAACUGCUCCAUUUUUCACUCGAAAUGAAACUACAAAUGCAACUGGUCGCAUGUAACCAGAUGGCACCAAUAACACAUAUAUCGCUGAAUUACUUAAUUCUUGAAAAUUUCGCUUAGAAAGGGCUUUAUCACCGAUCACAUUUUCAGAAAUUUUACUUUGUGUUAUAUCCGGAUGGAUAUCAUCGUUCUGUGUAUUUACAUGGAUAUAUAUUCUGAAGUGAUUUAUGAUGAGUGUGAAUCGUUUCGUUUUCGACUUACGAAACCGGGCGAAUCUGAAGCACAAAUAUUUAAACACAGCUGCGAGAUAAACGUUAUGAUUGCGUAGCAGUUGCAAGAGAAUUCACACAACGGUACCUCUUGUCUGUACAAUGAUAUCCCAUACAAAACAGAUUGCAGUGCGAAAUUGCUAUAUCAUUGAAAAGAAAGAAUUCUGCUUACUAUAUAGUUGCUCAAGUAAAGAAUUUUAAAAUCAUCGAAAGGUCAAUCUACAAAAUACAAUUAUCUAAAAUCUUAAUUAAUUAAUGUCUGUAUUAUUUUUAUUUUAGGUUUUCUGGAAUUAUGUAUUCAAUUAAUUUACGAUUAAAUAUACAUCAAACACGA